UACGUAGGGGGCAAGCGUUGUCCGGAAUCAUUGGGCGGUAAAGCGCGUGUAGGCGGCUCGGUAAGUCCGCUCUGAAAGUCCAGGGCUCAACCCUGGGAUGCGGGUGGAUACUGCCGGGCUCGAGUCCGGAAGAGGCGAGUGGAAUUCCCGGUGUAGCGGUGAAAUGGCGCAGAGUAUCAAGGAAGAACACCCGUGGCGAAGGCGGCUCUCUGGGACGGUACUGACGGCUGAGACGCGAAAGCGUGGGGAGCGAACAGG
rnacentral:rRNA from 1 species